UUCGUAUCGCUUCAGAAACUUUGAAAAUGUAAAAAUGCAGAAAGUUUUUUGUGAUGGUAGUGACGAACUUCCGCUGUCGCCAGAAGUCGGCAUAUCUUUUUAUGGUUUACUUGCGCGUCGCACAAAAUGUCUGUUUUCGAUGUCUCCAGGAUCUUCCGAAAAUUUGCGUCAGCGAUGUUCAUCGCAUUGUUGAUGCCUGGUCCCCUGCUCCGACAAGCAAGAGGGACAAGGGCUUUAAACUCUACAUAUCGAGUUAUCUGCACAACUACAAGGGAGCACACACUCUACAAAGGCCUGACUGGAGAUUUGCCUGAUCUAUCCGUCCUUCAGGUGACAGCGGCUCACUUAUAGAGCAGGUGAAGCAAGUUGGGACAAUGUUGAAGACAUUUGCUCGCACUGGGCAAUCAGGUGCAGAUCAGACCCUAAUGCUGUGACGUCUUGGAGAGUUGUUUGUUUAGAAUUGGCAAUGUUGUGCGUAGCAUGGACAACAAAAUGGAUGCUAUGCUGCAACAUUUCAGUGCCAAUGUGUCUGUUGGAGAGUUAUCCCUGACAGGGGAUCUGUUACUCCCCCCUAGACACCCAGGAAGAUUUGGCGUUGCUUGACAACAGUUUGAGGCAGGAUAAAGAGCUCCAGCAACGAUUUCUUCGGUUUUUGGCAAUCAAAUGUGGGAGGGACCUAAAGACAACUGCGUGGCGAAUGCUUCAGAGUAUCUUCUCUAAUCACCUUUCCAUCAAUACAACCUGGACUGGUGUAGGGGAUAAAGCAUUGU